rnacentral:rRNA from 1 species
GGUCCCUUCGGGGGAGUUGAGACAGGUGGUGCAUGGUUGUCGUCAGCUCGUGUCGUGAGAUGUUGGGUUAAGUCCCGCAACGAGCGCAACCCUUAUGAUCAGUUACUAACGGGAAAGCCGAGGACUCUGAUAAGACUGCCGGGGACAACUCGGAGGAAGGUGGGGACGACGUCAAAUCAUCAUGCCCCUUAUGACCUGGGCUACAGACGUGCUACAAUGGCGACUACAAAGAGGAGCGAGACCGUAAGGUUCAGCGGAUCUCAAAAAAGUCGUCCCAGUUCGGACUGUGGGCUGCAACCCGCCCACACGAAGUUGGAGUUGCUAGUAAUCGCGGAUCAGCAUGCCGCGGUGAAUACGUUCCCGGGCCUUGUACACACCGCCCGUCACACCAUGGGAGUCGGGAGCACCCGAAG